UGAACGCUGGCGGCGUGCCUAAUACAUGCAAGUCGCGCGAACAGACGCGGAGCUUGCUCCUCUGACGUUAGCGGCGGACGGGUGAGUAACACGUGGAUAACCUACCUAUAAGACUGGGAUAACUUCGGGAAACCGGAGCUAAUACCGGAUAAUAUAUUGAACCGCAUGGUUCAAUAGUGAAAGACGGUUUUGCUGUCACUUAUAGAUGGAUCCGCACCGCAUUAGCUAGUUGGUAAGGUAACGGCUUACCAAGGCAACGAUGCGUAGCCGACCUGAGAGGGUGAUCGGCCACACUGGAACUGAGACACGGUCCAGACUCCUACGGGAGGCAGCAGUAGGGAAUCUUCCGCAAUGGGCGAAAGCCUGACGGAGCAACGCCGCGUGAGUGAUGAAGGUCUUCGGAUCGUAAAACUCUGUUAUUAGGGAAGAACAAAUGUGUAAGUAACUAUGCACGUCUUGACGGUACCUAAUCAGAAAGCCACGGCUAACUACGUG
rnacentral:rRNA from 1 species